rnacentral:rRNA from 1 species
UACGGAGGGUGCAAGCGUUAAUCGGAAUUACUGGGCGUAAAGCGCACGCAGGUGGCUGAGUCAGUCGAUUGUGAAAGCCCUGGGCUUAACUUGGGAACUGCAUCCGAUACUGGAUGGCUUGAAUUCGGGAGAGGGAUGCAGAAUUCCAGGUGUAGCGGUGAAAUGCGUAGAUAUCUGGAGGAAUACCGGUGGCGAAGGCGGCAUCCUGGACCGACAUUGACGCUGAACGGCGAAAGCUAGGGGAGCAAACGGG